rnacentral:tRNA from 1 species
CGGCACCUGGAGCGAGGAGAUCGUCGUGCCCUGGCAGGGCGCGAUCAAGGUCGACCCGGCGGUGCCGUUCGAGGCGGCGGCGCUGA